rnacentral:misc_RNA from 1 species
GCGAGUAUGGCCCUCACGGGUCUAAUCCACCAUAAACACCUUUGUGAACCAGUCAGGGGGACUCGGCCGUGAAAGCCCAGGCGACUAGCGGAAGGGCCCUCCUUUGCAAACCCGUUUAGAAGUCUUGAAAGUACUUUUGUAUAAUCUAGUA